CGCGUCUGAUUAGCUUGUUGGUAGGGUAAUGGCCUACCAAGGCGACGAUCAGUAGCUGGUCUGAGAGGAUGAUCAGCCACACUGGGACUGAGACACGGCCCAGACUCCUACGGGAGGCAGCAGUGGGGAAUAUUGGACAAUGGGGGCAACCCUGAUCCAGCAAUGCCGCGUGUGUGAUGAAGGCCUUAGGGUUGUAAAGCACUUUCACUGGUGAAGAUGAUGACGGUACCUCCACAAGAAGACCCGGCCAACUACGUGCCAGCAGCCGCGGUAAUACGUAGGGGUCAAGCGUUGUCCGGAUUUAUUGGGCGUAAAGAGCUCGUAGGCGGUUCAACAAGUCGGUCGUAAAAGUUUAGGGCUCAACCCUAAAAUGUCGAUCGAUACUGUUGUGACUAGGAUACGGUAGAGGUGAAUGGAAUUCCGAGUGUAGCGGUGAAAUGCGUAGAUAUUCGGAGGAACACCAAUUGCGAAGGCAGUUCACUGGACCGUGAUCGACGCUGAGGAGCGAAAGCUAGGGGAGCAAACAGGAUUAGAUACCCUGGUAGUCCUAGCUGUAAACGAUGGAUACUAGAUGUAGGAACUGGAUUGACGGUUUCUGUAUCGUAGCUAACGCGUUAAGUAUCCCGCCUGGGGAGUACGAUCGCAAGAUUAAAACUCAAAGGAAUUGACGGGGCCCCGCACAAGCAGCGGAGCAUGCGGCUUAAUUCGACGCAACGCGAAGAACCUUACCAAGGCUUGACAUAUACAGGAAUACGGCAGAGAUGUCGUAGCCGCAAGGUCUGUAUACAGGUGGUGCAUGGUUGUCGUCAGCUCGUGUCGUGAGAUGUUGGGUUAAGUCCCGCAACGAGCGCAACCCUCGUUCUGUGUUGCCAGCAUUUAGUUGGGGACUCACAGGAGACUGCCGGGGUUAACUCGGAGGAAGGUGGGGAUGACGUCAAAUCAUCAUGCCCCUUAUGUCUUGGGCUGCACGCAUGCUACAAUGGCUGGUACAAACGGCUGCAAUACCGCAAGGUGGAGCGAAUCCGAGAAAGCCAGUCUCAGUUCGGAUUGGGGUCUGCAACUCGACCCCAUGAAGUCGGAGUUGCUAGUAAUCGUAGAUCAGCAACGCUACGGUGAAUACGUUCCCGGGGCUUGUACACACCGCCCGUCACAUCACGAAAGUCGGUAACACCCAAAGUCAGUGGCCCAACCGCAAGGAGGGAGCUGCCAAAGGUGGGAUCGGUGAUUGGGAUGAAGUCGUAACAAGGUAGCCG
rnacentral:rRNA from 1 species